rnacentral:tRNA from 1 species
GUUAAAAUAGCUUAAUAAGAGCAUAACAUUGAAGCUGUUAUGGUGACAAUAAUGUCUUUUAACA